AAGAAAGUAUGCAAGAACUGCUAAUUCAUGCCUCCAUGAUUAAAAUCAUGGCUUUCUUA
rnacentral:tRNA from 1 species